UGGUGUCAGCCGCCGCGGUAAAACCAGCACCUCAAGUGGUCAGGAGGAUUAUUGGGCCUAAAGCAUCCGUAGCCUAUUCUAUAAGUUUGCGGUUAAAUCUAUACGCUCAACGUAUAGGCUGCCGUAAAUACUGUAGAACUAGGGAGUGGGAGAGGUAGACGGUACUCGAUAGGAAGGGGUAAAAUCCUUUGAUCUAUUGAUGACCACCUGUGGCGAAGGCGGUCUACCAGAACAUGUUCGACGGUGAGGGAUGAAAGCUGGGGGAGCAAACCGGAUUAGAUACCCGGGUAGUCCCAGCUGUAAACGAUGCAGACUCGAUGAUGCAAUGGCAUAGAGCUAUUGCAGUAUCGCAGGGAAGCCGUUAAGUCUGCCGCCUGGGAAGUACGUACGCAAGUAUGAAACUUAAAGGAAUUGGCGGGGGAGCACCACAAGGGGUGAAGCCUGCGGUUC
rnacentral:rRNA from 1 species